AGCCAGUUUUUUAAUAAAAGGGGGGGGGGGAGCUAUUAACCCACUCUACUAGGGUUUCAUUUAGCUCACAGCCGCCGAACCACCUUCAUGCUUGGUGGCUGACGGCGCACGAAUAGCGACCGGAUCUUGUCGCUGGAGGCCACAACUAUGGAGAUCUAGUCUAUGGAGGAGGUCAACAGGGCAGAGGCUUCCUUUUUGGUGCAAAGGACGGGUAGAGCCGUCCCUCGAGCGAUGUUUGCACUGAGAAUGCACAUGGCUGGCAGAAGGAAGGCGCGGCGCUAGGGUUUCGGUUGGCUGAACUUGGUUUAGGCAUCGGUCCUAUCGGGCUUAGGUCUUUCUUUUAAUUUUGGGCCUAUUAGGUUGUAAUUUUGGCUGAGUUUAAUUGGGUUUGAUGUUUGGGUUGAUGUAAUGGGUUUGGAUUGGCCUUUUAAUGGGCUUAUUAUUUGGUUUAUUUAUGGCUUAGUCGGCCGGGCAAAAUUUGGGUUGUACACAUGUUAUUAAUUGAAUUGUUGUAUAUAUAUGACUUGUAUUAUAAGUUUUGAUA